CAACCGCAUAUAUUUGAUGCAGAAACUUAGCUUUCAGCAUAGCUGUGGAAUGCUGAUCAUUCUAGGACCAGAGCAGUAUUUUUUCUAGGAAACCACAAUGACUACAAAUCACUGAACAGAGAUGGUACAGGACGAUAGAGUUUUGACAGAUGGAGUCCGGCCGUGGAGUCUGAUCACUUGCUGUGCUGCUGGUGCAACUCCUGAAUGGGCUGGAACCUCUGAAAGCUCCAUCUCUCUCCUCUCUCUUCCUCUCCCCUCUUUGAGACAAGGUCUUACUAUACAGCCCUGGCUGUCCUGGAAAUCACUAUGUAGAUCAAACUGGCUUCAAACUCAAGAAGAUCCCUCACCUGCUUCUGCCUCCUGCGUGCUGGGAUUAAAGUCACUGCUGAGGUUGGAGCACAGAGCAGAGGCUGAUGAGCAGGUUGGACUGUCUGGUUUCCUCUGCGUCACACCUGUGCCGCCAGUUCCGCGAGGCACCAGGGCUGAUGCUUUGUCUGACUCAGUUCCUGCUUUUGCUUCAAGAUGCGCGAAGUCCGGAUGGGGUCUUCACGUUCACCACGCUGGUGUUUAGGUGGGGAAUCAAUGGAUCACCGAGAGUCCCGGAACUACCUUGCGUGGACACGGGGGUCAAAACCUAGACCAGGCUGUGGGUUACCGGAGUAGGGUUGUAGAAUGGACACAGUGGCGCCAGGUGCUUCUUUUAUCUGAAAGUCCAAGCACACGGCACAGUGCGCCCGGUUUCUGUUGGGAGGGGAGGGGAGACUCCCAUCUUGAGCUCCUACUCCUAGAUUCUCUGCUUCUGCUGGACGAGCUUCUCUGGUGCAGCACUCUGACAAGUAACACAAACGGAGCCAAGCGGAGAAAUUCUGCCGAGACUUCUUGGGUAAACACGCAAUGCUAUUUUUAGUUCAAGGUGGCAGAUGGGAGUCCCGCUGCUGAUUGUCGUUACUGUGUGUAUGUCUUCAAAAUAAAGCCACAGGUAAA